AAUAAAUAGCCUUUGACCUAUAGCCUAUAUAGCAUUUCAAGCAUGUGUACAUUUUUUUUUAUUUUUUUUUGUCUACGUUAUUCAUUAU
rnacentral:ribozyme from 14 species